UACGGAGAGUGCAAACGUUGUUCGGAUUCACUGGGCGUAAAGGGCACGUAGGCGGCUUGGCAAAUCGGUCGUGGAAUCCCGACGCUUACCGUCGGAACGGCGGCCGAAAAUACCGAGCUCGAGGGCGUGAGGGGUCACUGGAACUCCUGGUGAAGCGGUGAAAUGCGCAGAUAUCAGGAAGAACACCCGUGGCGAAGGCGGUUCUCUGGGACGGUACUGACGCUGAGACGCGAAAGCGUGGGGAGCGAACAGG
rnacentral:rRNA from 1 species